GCACACCGCUGCUGGGACUGGCCAUCAGAACUAAAAGCUGCGCUUCCAGGAGUUCUGACCAAUUGGAAAAGACCUCACAGAGAAGGUUAAUCAGGAAAGUUUCCACCGUGUUCUGCUACUUGGAAACCUUUAAUGGCUCUCCAGCACCCACAGGAAAACUCUUUGAGUUUGGAUCCCA